UGGCUGUAUUCGCGAGUAAGCAUAGGUGUG
rnacentral:piRNA from 1 species